rnacentral:lncRNA from 1 species
UGUGCCCUUUGUUCGUCCAUGUGUGUCCUCGCCCGGCUGAGUCUGGGCUGCCAAGCCCCCAGCUCCCCGUAGUGCCCCCGGCCAUGACCCCACCCCCAGCCUGGCUCCCCUUAUACCAGCUCCACGCCUCCUUUAUGGGUCUGCUCACGUGGCUUCCCAGAGAGGCCCUGGCCUGGAGCCCUCCCCAUCACGGCAACCCCAGGGGGAAAGGAAGUGAUCCCUGGGUCCUCUCACUCAUGUUCACCAUAUGGCUGGAUCAUGUUUCCUGCCAUUCCUCCCCUCUCCUCAGUGACCCCGUGUCCCCCACCCAGGAGUCCCCUGGAUCGCGCCUGACCCUCCAAAGAGCUCCUGUGCCCCCAGAGCCCUGCUUGUCCCCGAGCCUCACCUUACGCCAUAGCGGUCCCCCAACGUGACGUGGUUCCGGAAGGUCCGGUUCACGUCCAGGUCGAUUUGCCUGAUGUCCUUGGAGGAGAGCUGGGCCCGCUCCUUCGUUUGCUGGGGGCAGAACCAGGGAGGAGGAACCAGCAUCAGGGCACAGAACCCCAACUGCCACUAACUGCCCCCAAAGCAGGGAGAGUCCCGAGUCGCCCCGUGACUUGUCCUGAGGACAUGUCCUUCCUUCCCUGGUCUCUGAGGUAGGACCCCACAGGAGCCCAUCCUGCCUGGGACACCUGCAUCAUGGAUCAUACUCGGCAGCCCUGGAAGCCCAGGACACUCGCGAGGGUCAGCCCGCAGGUGUGCAGCACCCACCUUCUCGCUGGGCCAGUAGUGGUCCCAGUUGCGAAGCAUCUUCGCCCACUUGUCGGCCCUGUGGGUCUCCUGGUGAUGUUGCUGGAACAGGAGAAGGGAGCAGCGGAUAAGCCACCCGGAGCAGGAGACCGGCCCACGGGUAACAUCCAGGUGCUCUGCAGAGUGGGGCCAGCAUGGGAACAGACUGAGAGGAGCCUAGGAGGCACAGGGCCAUUCCCGCUGACCACGUCUCCAGGGGUCAGAGAGAGAAGUUCCUGUCAAUGCAUUCUGCCCCUGAGCUGGCCAGAGGAGGGCCCCAGGACUCACUGCAGGAAGCCGUGAUGGUCCGUGAGCCUGCACAGUGAGACUGCACAGCGAGAGGCAUUUCGAGGUUAUGCUGCCCGUUUGGUGGGUAGACCACAGUCUCUGUGCCUUCCCCAGAAGCUCCCUGCCGUUCCCAAGUUCUGGCCGGAGAGAUUAAUGCCUACUGCUCCAGUCCCAGCACUCGAUCUCCCCAACCAUCACCCCACAGCCCCUGUUAAGUACCAUGCUAUUUUCUCUCUCUGUAAAUCUGGCUUCUUUAGAAACAUCAUGUCUAUGAAACCACACAGUAUGUG